GGCCUAACACAUGCAAGUCGAGCGGAUGAGAAGAGCUUGCUCUUCGAUUCAGCGGCGGACGGGUGAGUAAUGCCUAGGAAUCUGCCUGGUAGUGGGGGACAACGUUUCGAAAGGAACGCUAAUACCGCAUACGUCCUACGGGAGAAAGCAGGGGACCUUCGGGCCUUGCGCUAUCAGAUGAGCCUAGGUCGGAUUAGCUAGUUGGUGAGGUAAUGGCUCACCAAGGCGACGAUCCGUAACUGGUCUGAGAGGAUGAUCAGUCACACUGGAACUGAGACACGGUCCAGACUCCUACGGGAGGCAGCAGUGGGGAAUAUUGGACAAUGGGCGAAAGCCUGAUCCAGCCAUGCCGCGUGUGUGAAGAAGGUCUUCGGAUUGUAAAGCACUUUAAGUUGGGAGGAAGGGCAGUAAAUUAAUACUUUGCUGUUUUGACGUUACCGACAGAAUAAG
rnacentral:rRNA from 1 species